CCAGGUUAAUGACAGAUGGUGUCUAUUAGACUCUGAAACCAGGUUAAUGACAGAUGGUGUCUAUUAGACUGAAACCAGGUUAAUGACAGAUGGUGUCUAUUAGACUGAAACCAGGUUAAUGACAGAUGGUGUGUAUUAGACUGAAACCAGGUUAAUGACAGAUGGUGUCUAUUAGACUGAAACCAGGUUAAUGACAGAUGGUGUCUAUUAGACUGAAACCAGGUUAAUGACAGAUGGUGUGUAUUAGACUGAAACCAGGUUAAUGACAGAUGGUGUGUAUUAGACUCUGAAACCAGGUUAAUGACAGAUGGUGUGUAUUAGACUCUGAAACCAGGUUAAUGACAGAUGGUGUGUAUUAGACUGAAACCAGGUUAAUGACAGAUGGUGUGUAUUAGACUGAAACCAGGUUAAUGACAGAUGGUGUCUAUUAGACUGAAACCAGGUUAAUGACAGAUGGUGUGUAUUAGACUGAAACCAGGUUAAUGACAGAUGGUGUGUAUUAGACUCUGAAACCAGGUUAAUGACAGAUGGUGUGUAUUAGACUGAAACCAGGUUAAUGACAGAUGGUGUGUAUUAGACUGAAACCAGGUUAAUGACAGAUGGUGUGUAUUAGACUGAAACCAGGUUAAUGACAGAUGGUGUGUAUUAGACUCUGAAACCAGGUUAAUGACAGAUGGUGUCUAUUA